AGUCGUAACAAGGUUUCCGUAGGUGAACCUGCGGAAGGAUCAUUAGUGAAUAUAGGACGUCCAACUUAACUUGGAGUCCGAACUCUCACUUUCUAACCCUGUGCACUUGUUUGGGAUAGUAACUCUCGCAAGAGAGCGAACUCCUAUUCACUUAUAAACACAAAGUCUAUGAAUGUAUUAAAUUUUAUAACAAAAUAAAACUUUCAACAACGGAUCUCUUGGCUCUCGCAUCGAUGAAGAACGCAGCGAAAUGCGAUAAGUAAUGUGAAUUGCAGAAUUCAGUGAAUCAUCGAAUCUUUGAACGCACCUUGCGCUCCAUGGUAUUCCGUGGAGCAUGCCUGUUUGAGUGUCAUGAAUACUUCAACCCUCCUCUUUCUUAAUGAUUGAAGAGGUGUUUGGUUUCUGAGCGCUGCUGGCCUUUACGGUCUAGCUCGUUCGUAAUGCAUUAGCAUCCGCAAUCGAACUUCGGAUUGACUUGGCGUAAUAGACUAUUCGCUGAGGAAUUCUAGUCUUCGGAUUAGAGCCGGGUUGGGUUAAAGGAAGCUUCUAAUCAGAAUGUCUACAUUUUAAGAUUAGAUCUCAAAUCAGGUAGGACUACCCGCUGAACUUAAGCAUAUCAAUAUAAAAGUCG
rnacentral:rRNA from 1 species